GCCAGUGUGGUGUAGUGGUUUGAGUAUCAGGCUGUGACUCUGUAGACAAGGGUUCAAAUCCCCACUUGGCCA